rnacentral:rRNA from 1 species
GAUCCUGGCUCAGGAUGAACGCUAGCUACAGGCUUAACACAUGCAAGUCGAGGGGAAACGACAUCGAAAGCUUGCUUUUGAUGGGCGUCGACCGGCGCACGGGUGAGUAACGCGUAUCCAACCUGCCUACCACUUGGGGGUAACCCUGCGAAAGUAAGACUAAUACCCAAUGACAUCCCACGAAGACAUCUGAAUGGGAUUAAAGAUUUAUCGGUGAUGGAUGGGGAUGCGUCUGAUUAG